rnacentral:rRNA from 1 species
UUGAACGCUGGCGGCAUGCUUUACACCUGCAGGUCGAACGGCAGCGCGGGCUUCGGCCUGGCGGCGAGUGGCGAACGGGUGAGUAAUACAUCGGAACGUGCCCAGUAGUGGGGGAUAGCUCGGCGAAAGCCGGAUUAAUACCGCAUACGACCUGAGGGUGAAAGCGGGGGAUCUUCGGACCUCGCGCUAUUGGAGCGGCCGAUGGCAGAUUAGCUAGUUGGUGGGGUAAAGGCCUACCAAGGCGACGAUCUGUAGCUGGUCUGAGAGGACGACCAGCCACACUGGGACUGAGACACGGCCCAGACUCCUACGGGAGGCAGCAGUGGGGAAUUUUGGACAAUGGGCGAAAGCCUGAUCCAGCAAUGCCGCGUGUGUGAUGAAGGCCUUCGGGUUGUAAAGCACUUUUGGCGGGAACGAAAAGGACUGUGCCAAUACCACGGUUCGAUGACGGUACCCGCAGAAUAAGCACCGGCUAACUACGUG